GGGGGCAACCCUGAUCCAGCCAUGCCGCGUGAGUGAAGAAGGCCUUCGGGUUGUAAAGCUCUUUCAGAUGCGAAGAUGAUGACGGUAACAUCAGAAGAAGCCCCGGCUAAUUUCGUGCCAGCAGCCGCGGUAAUACGAAAGGGGCUAGCGUUGUUCGGAUUUACUGGGCGUAAAGGGCACGCAGGCGGUCUUGCCAGUCAGGGGUGAAAGCCCGGGGCUCAACCCCGGAACUGCCUCUGAUACUGCAAGACUAGAGACUAGGAGAGGGUGGUGGAAUUCCCAGUGUAGAGGUGAAAUUCGUAGAUAUUGGGAGGAACACCAGAGGCGAAGGCGGCCACCUGGACUAGAUCUGACGCUCAGGUGCGAAAGCGUGGGGAGCAAACAGGAUUAGAUACCCUGGUAGUCCACGCCGUAAACGAUGAGUGCUAGUUGUCGGGACUUCGGUUUCGGUGAC
rnacentral:rRNA from 1 species